UAGCUGGAGGCUUAAUACAUGCAAGUCGAGCGGGAUUGGUAGCAAUACCAUGAGAGCGGCGCACGGGUGAGUAACGCGUACACGACCUACCUCUAACAGGGGGAUAGCCCUGGGAAACUGGGAUUAAUACCGCAUAUAAUUCUGAAGAAUAAAGAUUUGGAAUGAAAGUUCAGGCGGUUAGAGAUGGGUGUGCGUCUGAUUAGCUAGUUGGUGAGGUAACGGCUCACCAAGGCGAUGAUCAGUAGGGGGCGUGAGAGCGUGGUCCCCCACACGGGUACUGAGACACGGACCCGACUCCUACGGGAGGCAGCAGUAAGGAAUAUUGGACAAUGGCCGCAAGGCUGAUCCAGCCAUCCAGCGUGCAGGAAGAAGGCCCUACGGGUUGUAAACUGCUUUUGUCAGGGAAUAAACCUGUGGAUUUACUCCGCAGCUGAAGGUACCUGAAGAAUAAGCACCGGCUAACUCCGCGCCAGCAGCCGCGGUAAUACGGAGGGUGCGAGCGUUAUCCGGAAUUACUGGGUUUAAAGGGUGCGUAGGCGGCUAUGUAAGUCAGGAGUGAAAGUUUGCGGCUCAACCGUAAAAUUGCUUUUGAUACUGCAUAGCUAGAAUCAGGAUGAGGUCAGCGGAAUGUGGCAUGUAGCGGUGAAAUGCAUAGAUAUGCCAUAGAACACCAAUUGCGAAGGCAGCUGGCUAGACCUGUAUUGACGCUGA
rnacentral:rRNA from 1 species